rnacentral:lncRNA from 1 species
GGGGGGGGGGGGGAGAACGAAUAGAAUUUGGAUAGAAUUCCCAUUCAAAAUUCAAAAAUUUAUUUGACGAUAAGGUCAGGGAAACAAAUUCUUGUACGAAUUUGAAUUUGGACGUCCGAUUAAGGGCAAACGACGAACACAGAAGGAGAUGGAGCACCCUGGACUGAUUCACGAAGGGUCUCCGUACGAGAGGAACAAAUAGAAUUUGGAUAGAAUUCCCAUUCAAAUUUUAAAAUUUUCUUUGACGAUAAGGUAAGGGAAACAAAUUCUUGUACGAAUUUGAAUGUGGACGUCCGUUUAAGGGUAAACGACGAACACAGAAGGAGAUGGAGCACUCUGGACUGAAUCACGAAGGGUCUCCGUACGAGAGGAUAAGGGAGAGGGGAGAUGACGUGCACGAUUCCGAGUUGCGAUUUGGGUUGCUGGGUUGCAUCUGGUUUGCAUCGUAGCUGCUGGACUGGGUUUCACAGUGUUUCUGGGCUUCAAUUUUCUGGGUUCUUCACGAAAUGGAGAAGAAGACGCGCAGGGGGGUUAGGUUUUGG